UCUCUCUCUCUGCAAUUGUCUCUCUCUCUCAAAUUACUAGUCUUCAAUCUUCAUUCACCUCGUCGUCUGCCCUCUCCAUCUCGAACCCUCUCUCCACCGUCGGCCCGCCGCCGCCUCCACUCACGUCAUCGUCUGCCCUCUCCAUCUCGAACCCUCUCUCCAGUUGCGUCGAUUUGUGUGAGGAGAAGCUCGAGGCGAUCCGCAGAGAUUCGUGCCGAUAGCCCACUCCAGCCACCCCCUCCAACGAAACCCUAGCAGCGGCGGGGCGGGGCUGAGUCCAAGCGGUGUUGGCUUGACCGAGAAGACGAUGCAGAGGCUCGAGGCGAUCUGCCGCGAUUCGCAUCAAAAGCCCGCUCCAGCUGCGUCUAUCUACCGUCCACCCCUCUGAAUGAAACCCUAGCAGCGGCGCGGCGGAGUGCGAGCGGUGGCGGCUUGAGCGAGAAGACGAUCCAGAUCUGUUCCUGAGAUUUCUCCAAGUUCAUUCUCUGUUCCUAAGAUUUCUCCAAUUUUGUUUGAUUUGUUUGAGUUCGAUUGGUUUUACUCUCUAUUCAUGAAAUUUUGCGCUCUCUGUUCAUGAAAUUCA
rnacentral:lncRNA from 1 species